GGGGGCACACAGUAUAGCCCAUAGCAGUGUGCUGGAAAGUUUUCCAUCUUUGGUGUGGCUUUAAAAAAAGGCAAAAGAAAAAAAUCUAAAAUAGGCUAGACUGUAUUUUAUUUUUACUAUCCACAAAACUCCCCUUCAGAAAGCUUUCAGCAGAAUGCAUACUUACUCUGCUCAGGUUGACAGCCAAAUAAUGGGGGGAGUUUUCUUAGCAUUACUGAAGUGUGGGUGUUUCAGCUUUUUAUUUGAAGCUUCUUACAGCAGAGGAUGUUGCCAUAUAAAAUAUGGGGAGGCCUAGCAUCAGUCUUUGUAGGUAGCCAGUGGUUAAAAACAGAAGUAUUUGAAUGUAUCCUUCAAAAGGCAGUGAUAAAAAUGCAGAGAAAAGGUAUUCCAAAUGUUAUGCUCCUUCCUGGCAAAUUCUUUUUUGAUGCUUCUCUUAAAUGCUUUGCCAUUUGGUUUGGAAAUGUUUUCAGGCAUCUUUGCCACCUCAUCAUGGACUAUUUCCAAGGCUUUUGAGGAGCUGCCAUAAACAGCAGAUCCAGCAUUAAGGAUAAAGCACUUGUUUUAUAUGGUUAUAUCAUGCCUGUUAGGAAUGGGAAUGUAAAAUGGGCUGUUUAAAAAUUUAAGAUGCCUGCCAAUAAUUUUUCAAGGUAGGUGUGUUAUGUGACAUUUGAUUAUGUUAAGUUUCAUCUGGCAAGUUCACACGUUGGCAAAAAUGUAUGAAAUUGAGUGACUUCUUUCUGCAAGAAUUUUUUUUUUUUGCAUGUUAUUGCCUAAACCUUUGUAGAGUAAUGAAGAUCUAAACCAUUAUAUAAACAUGCAGGUGUGAGAUGUUGCUUAGACAUAAAUACAGGAAGAGAAUAUCUUUCACUAUUUGAGAAUUCAAGGCAGAGCAGGUGUAAUAAUAUCCAGUGGAAACCUUCUUCCUGGUGUUCUCUUGCCCCAGUUUCCAUAAAAAGUGUUAGAGAACAUCUGGAUAAGAUAUAGAAGGAAAAAGCCCAGCCCUCUCUCCCUCCACAAGUUUUAGAGCCUUAGAAAGAGCACAGAAAAAUUCAGAACUGCACACUGUUUGUUGGAACCUGAGAACUUUAUCAAAGCCAAAUCCAAGAACCUCAGAGAAAAUGCCUGAAUGUGGCUGGUGGUCACUAGAAGACAAUUUUUUUUUACCUCUAAACUUUAGGUGUCCUCCUGCCUUGAAAAGUUCACUUCAGUAGAUUAGGGAUGAAGGGAGAGGUAUUGCUUUGGCUUUUCAAGCCUGGCAUAUUUCAGGGUCCACGUCAUACCAGCCUUGCCUUUAGCAAUAGGAAUUAAUUGUUUUAAAGAUUUUUUUUUCUCUCUUUCAGCAGGGUGAGAUUUAGGGUGAUUGGAAUGUCUGUGAAUGACAAUUAUGGGCUGAAUCCUGGCAGUUUACUAUGCAAUUUAUUGGAACUUGCUUUUUACUUUAGGGAGUUGAACAGUGUGUAUUUAUUUAUUUAUUUGCUUUUUAGGGCCGUACCAUGGCCUGUGAGAGUUCCCAGGCUAGGGGUCUAAUUGGGGCUACAGCUGCUGGCCCACACCACAGCCAUAGCACUGCUGGAUGUGAGCUGGCUCUGUGACCUACACCCCAGCUCACAGCAAUGCCGGAUCCUUAACCCACUGAGCGAAGCCAGGAAUUGAACCUGCAUGUUCAUGGAUACUAGUCAGAUUCAUUUCUGCUUCACCACCAUGGAAACUCAACAGUGUGUUUGUAAAGAAUGUAUGCUUGGAAUUCCCUGGUGGCCUAGUGAUCAAGGAUGUGCUGUCGUCACUGCUGUGGCAAGGGUUUAAUACCUGGCCUGGGAACUUCUGUAUGCUGCAGGCAUGGCAUACAUAUAUACUUGGAUUAAAACAACACUGAGAUACUACUCCGUACCUUUUAGAGUGGAUGACUCUAAAACACUGGCAACACCAAGUGCUGACAAGGGUAUAGGGUAACAGGAACUCUGGUUUAUUGCUGGUGGGGAUGCGAAAUGGUACAGCUGCUUUGCAGCUACUGCAAAGCUAAAUGCAUUUUCACCACAGGAUCCAGCAAUCAUGCUCCUAAGUAUUCACCUAAUGAGUUGAAAACUAUGUCAGCACAAACCCUGCAACACAAACAUUUAUAGCACUUUCAUUCAUAAUUGCCCCCAAUUGGAAGAAACCAAAAAUUCCUUCAGCAAUAGAUGGAUAGACUAUGGUACAUCCAUAUAAUGGAAUAUUAUGCAGUGGUAAAAAGAAAUGAGUUGGCGUUUCUUGGUAGCCUAGCAGUUAAGAAUCCUGUGUUAUCACUGCUAUGGCUCAUGUUCAGUCCCUGGCCUGGAAACCUCUGCAUGCCAUGGGCAUGGCCAAAAAAAAAAAAAUGUGUUAUUGAGACACAUGUCCUUAGACAUCUGUCAAAACGGAGUGAACCCUCAUGUCAAAGUGUGGACCUCAGUUAAUAAUAAUGUAUCAGUACAGGUUCAUCAGUAUAACAAAUGCACCCCACUAAUACAAGUUGUAAACUGUGAGUGUGUGGGGAGAGGGGUGCGUGUGGGAACUCUCUGUACUUUUUGAUCUACUUUUCUGUAAACUUAAAAACUGCCCUUUAAAAAAAAUGUAUUAAGAAAAUCUAUCAAGGAGUUUCUGUUAUGGCUCAGUGGGUUAAGAACCCAACUAGUAUCCAUGAGGAUGUGGGUUCUAUCCAUGGCCUCUCUCAGUGAGUUAAGGAUCUGGCGUUGCCACAGACUUCGGCAGCAAAGGUCCCAGAUGUGGUUCAGAUCCUGCAUUGCUGUGGCUGUGGUGUAGGCCAGCAGCUGCAGCUCUGUUUCCUAGCCUGGGAACUUCCAUAUGCUGCUGGGGUGGCCCUAAAACCAAAAAAAUCUAUCAUGGAGUUCACGCUGUGGCUCAGUGGGUUAAGGACCCAACGUUGUCUCUGAGGAUGUGGGUUCAAUUCCUUGCUUAGUGGGUUAAAGAUCCAAUGUUCCUGCAAGCUGUGUUGUAGGUCGGAGAUGUGGCUCAGAUCUGGUGUUGCUGUGGCUGUGGUGUAGACUGGUAGAUGCAGCUCCUAUUCGACUCCUGGCCUGGGAAUUUUCAUAAGCUGCAGGUGUGGCCCUAAAAAGAAAAACAAAACCUAUCAAGCCAUGAAAAGACAUAGGGAGCCUUAAAGGCACAUUGUUAAGUGGAAGAAGCCAGUCUAAAAAGCUGCAUAUUGUGUGAUUCCAACUCUGACAUUCUAGAAAAAGCAGAAUUCUAAAGACAGUACAGGGGUUACCAUCAAAGACAGUACAGGGGUUACCAUCGUGGCUCAGUUGUUAACGAAUCCCACUACGAACCAUGAGGUCGCGGGUUCAAUCUUUGGCCUUGCUUAGUGGGUUAAGGAUCCAGUGUUGCCGUGAGCUGUGAUAUAGGUUGCAGAUGCGGCUCGGAUCCCGAGUUGCUGUGGCUGUGGCGUAGGCCGGCAGCUACAGCUCUGAUUAGACCCCUGCCUGGGAACCUCCACAUGCCGUAGGUAUGGCCCUAGAGAAGGCAAAAAGACGAAAAAUAAAAAGAUAAAAAUAAGUAAAAUAAAGACAGUACAAGAUCAGUGGUUGCAGGGAUUGGGUUGGGGUGGGGUGCAUAGGCAGAGCACUCAGCAUUUUUAGAGCAAUGAAACUCUCCUGCGUGAUGAUGGAUACAUGUCAUUAUACAUUUGGCAGAACCAAUAAGACUCUAUGACCAAGAAUAAAUGCUUGUGCAAGGUAUGGUCUUCAGUUAAUAAUAGUUAACAUUUACUUAAUAAUAACAGUGUCAUAGUAUAAUAAUAAUAGUUAACUUCAGUUAAUAACAAUGUAUCCAUUAUUGGUUCAUCAAUUGUCAUGAGGUUCCACAGACAUGCAAGAUGUUUAGUAACAGGGAAACCCAGGGGCGUGGUUGGGAAUAUGUGGGAACUUCCUAUAUUUUAUGCUCAGUUUUUCUGUAGACCAAAAACUUCCCCCCAAAUCGUCUAUUAAUUAAAAAAAUCAGCAGAAAGUGAAAUGAAAUUCAAAAUUCUGUGUCCAGAAAUGAAAUUUCAUUGGUGCGCACAUGCACGUGCACACACGCAUGCGCACAUGCGUCUUUGGUGCUCGCUUCUGGCAGCGGUAACUUGGCUGCCGCCUGGUCAGCACAGGCACACCGGCGUGGUGGGAAGAGCCUUCCCCGGGGCACCUGCUCUGUGCUGGAUUCCCCUAGGCUGCACUCGCUCUGGUUGGAAAUCUUCAGGAGGCCCCACGGGCACACAGUUUUAAUCCCACGCCUGCCUGUCCAGUGGGCAGCCUGGGUUCUCGUCUGUAAAAUGGGAAUCAUUGUUCUUCCUCUUUUCUGUCGAGUUUCUUCUAAUUCAACUUGUCAUACGCAGAGGGAUAUUGUAAAGAGAACGAUAAUCAGAGUUAUAAGCUAAUUGGCUGGAGAGAUGGAGCUCCUGAAAGAACAUUUCAGGGACAGAUCUGAAACAGAUAGGGGAGAUGGAGCUUGUGUAAAACCAGGUUAGUUGCAUUUCACACCCACCCCCUCCACCCCCAACUGGGCUAGGGAUGGAGCUUGCUCCUCUGCAGCAACCCGAGCUGCUGCAGUCAUAUCCUUAACCCACAGUGCCACAGUGGGAAUUCCCUUUAGCUGUGUUUUGAGGGAUAGAUAUUUUUGCAGCUGGAAGAGAUCAUCAUUGAUUUUUCUUUUUUAAUGCCAGCAGGCAGGGGACUCUCCAAGUCCUGAUGUCUCUGAAUUUAGCAGAGUGUGUCAUGUAGUGGACCAUCUGGGCUCGAAGGCAGAAAAACCCGGGUAGCAUCUCAUGUGACCCCAGGGCAGCCAAGGCUCAUAGGCUGGAACUCAGCCUCUUGCUUCCUUCUUUGUAAAAGGGACUGGCCACACCUACUUUAUAACUCGCUGAUUCAAUCAGACAACUCAUAUUACAUGCCCUCCAGCAGGUCUGCACAGCACAGGGGGCUCUGUUCACACAGGUUUACUUUUCAGUAGAAUGCAUUCAUGCUUCAUGCUUUCCUUCUUGCAGGUCUCAGAAGAGUCACCUGCCUUCUGAUCUAUCCUGGUUUUAUUCCUCCUCAUGUGGUUGGGGAAAAUGUUUUUUAAUAUCAAACUUGGGGGUAGCAGAUGUAAGCUAUGAUAUAUAGAAUGGAAAAAUAAGGUCCUGGUAUAGAGAAUAGAGAACUAUAUGCAAUGUCCUAUGAUAAACCAUAAUGGAAAAGAAUAUUUUAAGAGAGAGUAUGUGUGUGUUUGUAUAACUGAAUCACUUUGCUGUGCAGCAGAAAUAACACAGUGUAGUAAGUAAGCUAUACUUCAGUAAAAAGUUAGUAAAUUUAAUUCUUCUUUCCUUUCUAGACGCUCUCUGGAGAACUUUCAGCAAGGUGAUAAUUAAACCACCUUCUUGACUUCCUCUAGAUUAAAUAACCCCAAUUCCUCUGACAUGUUCUAAUAGGAUCGGUUUAACAUUCCUUUGAAAACGCACUCUCUGGUUCCUCCUCAGUCUUUAGAAACAUGCAAUUAAAACAGAAGGCGUUAAUACAACAUUGUAAGUCAGCUAUGCUCCAGUAAAAUUAAAUAAAAACAACAACAACAACAACAACAACCCCCUCCAAAAAACGGAAGGAGGGUCCUUCUGGGAUCACACGCAGAGCGGCAGGGAUGGUCACUCUGGGGCCUUUGUCUGCCCGUCCAUUUUCCUCUUUUGUGUCAUUGUCCUUUCCUUCCAUGUUAUUGACCCCUGUUCUGACCUUUUCUUUGACCUGCUUUUUUUUUUUUUUUCUUUUUAUGGCCACACCUGUGGCAUAUGAAAGUUCCCAGGCCAGGGGUUGAAUCUGAGCUGCAGCUGCAGUUUGCGCCACAGCCAUGGCAACGCCUGAUUUGAGCCGCAUCUGUGACCUGUGCAGCAGCUUGUGGCAACGUCAGAUCAUUAACCCACGGAGCAAGGUCUGGGAUCGAACCCCAUCCUCACAGACACGAUGUCAGGUUCUUAACGUGCUGAGCCACAAUAGGAACUCCUUUUUCUUUUUCUUUUUCUUCCUUUCUUUCUUUCUUUUAAUACUGCUUAUUAGCUUAGGCGUGGCUCUGGAGCUGGCCUUCCUGGGUUUGAGUCCCACCUCUUCUUCCCAACUGUAGCCUUGCCCAAAUUAUCUUUUCUGAAACUCUGUGUCCUCAUCUGUGAAAUGUGAUGAAAACAGCGUCUGCUGUGAAGAUUUAAGUAUUUAAUAUGUGGAUAAAUAUAAACUUUUCAGACCAGUAUGGUUACAUAGAGAGUACACAACAAAUAUUAGCGAUUUUUUUAACUGUUUUGAAAUCACGGAGACUCACUAGAAGUUGAAGAAAUGCCCAUCGACAGAGGACUGGAUAAAGAAGAUGUGGUACAUACACGCAAUGGAAUGUUAGUCGUAACAUAGAAUGAAAUAAUGCCGUUUGGAGCAACAUGGAUGGAUCUAGACAUUAUCACACUAAGUGAAGUAAGACAGAGAAAGGCAAACAUCAUAUGGUAUCAUUUGUAUGUGGAAUCUUAAAAAACAUAUAUAUAUAUACAAAUGAACUUAUUUCCAAAACAAAAAGAGACUCACAGGCACAAAAAACAAACUUAUGGCUACCAAAGCAGAAAGGGGGGUUGGAUUAAUAUAUACACACAUUACUAUAUGUAAAAUAGAUAACCAACAAGGACCUACUGUAUAACAGGAAACUAAACUCAGUAUUUUGUAGUAACCUAUAAGGGAAAAGAAUCUGAAAAAGUAUAUGCUUUUCUAAUUUUUUUAAAUUAAAAAAAUUUUUUUGAAUUGUUAUUUCCUCAAUACAAUUUUUUUUUCUACUGUACAGCGUGGUGACCCAGUUACACAUACAUGUACACAUUCUAUUUUCUCAGAUUAUCAUGCUCCAUCAUAAGAGACUAGACAGAGUUCCCAAUGCUACACAGCAGGAUCUCAUUGCUAAUCCAUUCCAAAGGCAAUAGUAUAUACUUUUCUAUAUGUGUAUGUAAAACACAAUCACUGUUCUGUACAUCUGAUAUUGUACAUCAGCUGUAUUUCAUUAAAAAUUUUAAAAAAUGGAGUUCCCAUUGUGGCACAGUGGAAACGAAUCCCACUAGUAUCCAUGAGGGUGUGGGUUCGAUCCCUGGCCCUGCUCAGUGGGUUAAGGAUCAGCAUUGCUGUGAGCUGUGGUGUAGGUUGCAGAUGUGGCUUGCAGACAUGGCUUGGAUCCUGCUUUGCUGUGGCUGUGGCAUAGGCUGGCAGCUGUAGGUCUGAUUCAACCCCUAACCUGGGAACUUCCAUAUGCCAUGAGUGCCGCCCUAAAAAGCAAAAUAAAUAAAUAAAUAAAAAUAGUAUAGGAAUUUCCCAUGAAUCUACCCCAGGUUCAUUUGGUGAUAAUAUCUUCCAUAAUUAUAAUGCUUUAUCAAAUCCAAGAAAUUGACAUUGGUAUAACACUGUUAAUGGAACUAUAGGCUUCGUUUGGAUUUCACCCCUUUUUUCAUGCUCUUUUGUAUGUGCAUGUGUGUGUGUGUACAGCUUUGUGAACUUUCAUGACAUGUCUUCAUGUAACCACUGCUCCAGUCAGGAGGCAGGAUUGUUCCAUUUCACAAAGGCUGUCCCCCCACAAUCACCCCACCCCAACCCAUGCUAUGGGAACCGAGUAUCUGUUCUCCAUCACUUUUGGAGAAUGUUGUACAGGUAGAAUCGUACCUUUCGAGAUUGGUCUUUUUCACUCAUUCUAAUGACCUUGAGAUCCAUCCAAACAGUCUGUGCCUUUUCACUGCUGCGUAAGUAGCCCUCUAUAUGGGUGCCCCAAGUCUGUUUAUCCAUUUAUCCCUUGAGAGAUAUUUGAGUGGCUGUCAAUUCUUUGGCUAUUACAAAUAGAGCUGCUCUGAAAGUUCAUGUACAUUUUGUGUUAGCCAUUUUCAUUUCUCAAAGAAUAAAUACCUAAAAUUGUGAUUGUUGAGUCAGAUGUGAAGUUAUGUUUAACUUAAAAAAAAAAAACUGUCAAGCUAUUUUCUCUAGUGUCUGUACCAUUUUACAUUUCCACCAAUAAUGCAGGAGGGAUCUGGUUUCUUUGCAUUGCUGUUUUUUUUAAUUUUUGCUAUUCUAAUAGAUGUGAAGUGACAUCUCAUGGUGGCUUUAAUUUGCAUUUCCCUCAUGGCUAGUGAUGUUGGACAUCUCUUCAUGUAUUUAUUUAUUACCUGUAUAUUCUCUUUGGUGAUAGUCUGUUCAAGUCUUUUUUUGCUCAUUUAAAAAAUUGGAUUCUUGGCAGUUCCAUUGCAGCUCAGCGGGUUAAGAACCCGACUAGUAUCCAUGAGGAUGCGGGUUCGAUGCCUGACCUUGCUCAGUGGUUUAAGGAUCCUGAAUG
rnacentral:lncRNA from 9 species